GCCUAACACAUGCAAGUCGAACGGCAGCACGGGAGCUUGCUCCUGGUGGCGAGUGGCGAACGGGUGAGUAAUGUAUCGGAACGUGCCCAGUCGUGGGGGAUAACUAUCCGAAAGGAUAGCUAAUACCGCAUACGUCCUGAGGGAGAAAGCGGGGGACCUAAGGGUAACUGAGGGCCUCGCGCGAUUGGAGCGGCCGAUAUCGGAUUAGCUAGUUGGUGGGGUAAAGGCUCACCAAGGCGACGAUCCGUAGCGGGUCUGAGAGGACGACCCGCCACACUGGAACUGAGACACGGUCCAGACUCCUACGGGAGGCAGCAGUGGGGAAUUUUGGACAAUGGGGGCAACCCUGAUCCAGCCAUUCCGCGUGAGUGAAGAAGGCCUUCGGGUUGUAAAGCUCUUUCAGCAGGAACGAAACGGUCGGCUUUAAUAAAGUUGGCUAAUGACGGUACCUGCAGAAGAAGCACCGGCUAACUACGUGCCAGCAGCCGCGGUAAUAC
rnacentral:rRNA from 1 species